rnacentral:rRNA from 1 species
AUGGAAUCUGCUGUCAGGAGGUCAACGGGUAAAAACAAAGAUGGUAGUGAAGUGUUUGAUUGGUUUGAGAAAUAUGUUCUGCGUUCGAAAUUGGAUGUUAGCAUUGAUCACCUAGAGCUGUGCUCACUGUUAUCACAUGGUGGUGAUGCAAGAGAUAAACAUAUCACCUUAUUGAUGAAUGCUGGUCUCCUGACACGCCAACUAAUAGAUCCAAACAUGUACUGGUUUUCUAUUCCAAGUAUUGGUCCUAUCCCAGACCUCGUCACAACUGAUAGAAGACAAGAAUUGACGUUCGUCAAAAGUAACGACAUCAUUAAACUUGAUAGGAGCAAGACAUAUCCUCCUGCCUGGUUUCAAAAACUGGUGUAUCUGCUAAUGAUGAAUUGGGGGAUUGUGUGCUCUCUUCCAGGUCAAGAUCACAGGGUUGUCCUGUGUUCUCUCUUCCAGGUCAAGAUCAGGGUUGUCCUGUGUUCUCUCUUCCAGGUCAAGAUCAGGGUUGUCCUGUGUUCUCUCUUCCAGGUGAUGGGCGUUGUUGUCCUGCCUGGUCUCUUCCUGGUGAGGAACAGAGUUGUCCGGGUUACUGACAACAUCUACAACAUCCAUGCUCUCAUGAGGUUCGUUCUGAGAGACAACACCCAUGAUCUCUUCCUGGCAACUGACAUGAGGUUUGGGGUCUUCCGCAUUUUGGUGGUCAUCAUGAGGUGA